rnacentral:lncRNA from 1 species
GGAUGCGAGGGAGGAGGAGACAGCCUUGCACAGUCCUCAGCGAGCCCCUCAGUUGUACGAGUGUCAGGCUACCUUUCUUCUUCACUUGUAUGAACCAAGCCAGUGCCCAUUCCCUAGGGGUGCACCGCUGAACACCGGAGCUCGACGAGUACCGCCUGGAACUGCCCUGNGCCGUCCUCCUGGGGGAGGGGGCUGGCUUGGGGCCCGUGGGAAACACUGCGGACAUCUGUGGUUGCCCGGCCUCUAGUGGGUGGAGGCCACGUUUGUUGCUAACCCUUGUACACCGCGGGGCAGCCCCUCAUACAACCUUACCCGUCGGCAGCAGCACGGGCAGUGAGAAGCCCGGGGUUUCUGCGGGGAGGCAAGUCCAAAGGGCCCCUCACUUUCCAGGGUCUGGCAGGCACCCAGCCGUCUGCCUACUUCCCUCACUGGCAUUUAGAAGGAGACCUCACCUUACCUCAGGCGGCCUCCGGUGCUCUCGGCGGGCCAGGGAUCCUCCUGCGCAGGCGCGGGCACAAGGACAGAGCCAGCGCGGGAGCUCAGCGUGCGGGGCCUGCUGGGAGCACAGCGCGCGGGGCCUGCUGGGGGCACAUCCCGUGGGGCCUGCUGGGAGCACAGCGCGCGGGGCCUGCUGGGAGCACAGCUUGGUACCCGGUGGCCCGGAGUUCCGCGCUCGGAGGUGCCGGGAGCAUAAUCCUUCACAUGCCCAAUCAAGUCUGUCUUCCUAGAGGCAAAAGGGCAAAGAAAACCCGAGGGAGGAAGUACCUAGGAUCUGGGAUCCGAGCAGGAGGUGGCACAAAGGUGCACGGGAGAAGCGGGGAGGGCCUCGUAGGCCGCGGCGGUGCACGCGCUUGCUCGGGGCCCGCCGCACAGCCCUGGGGCUGGCUCUGCACCGCGACGAACCUUUCGCCGGUCUGCGGUAUUGUCGCUAGUGGGAGAGUCUGCGUUGUGUGGCUGGAGGUCUCCGUUCCUGGAUGCCCCACGAAAGAGUUACGUGAUGCCCACGCUCAGCUGAAGACAGCCAGAAUCUCCUGACAGGGAGCCUGCUUCUCUUCUGCCUAUAUCUCUGCCUCUCUCUGUGCGUCUCUUAUGAAUAAAUAAAUUAAAAUC